AUUAACCUAAUCCCAAUUCCAUUCUGCAGACACUAAUCUCUUCUUAGUGUUUUGUUCGAUUGUGUAGUAGUCGAAUUCAAUUGCAAAACGGAUCUAUCUGUUGUUUUUUCAUCCGGUAGAUCAGUUUCAUUAUUAAUCCCAUUGAUGUUUGUUGUACAAAGCUUGUCUGCAAUGCCAUCAAACUUACCAUGAUACUUCAUCAUGUCCUG
rnacentral:lncRNA from 1 species